rfam:Jannaschia seosinensis strain CECT 7799 genome assembly, contig: 0142
CGGGCAGUGGCGCAGCCUGGUAGCGCACCUGCUUCGGGAGCAGGGGGUCGGAGGUUCGAAUCCUCUCUGCCCGA